AUGUUUGAUGCACAGUGGUGAUCAGGCCUGCCUCUACAGCUUCCUGGUGAGGGUGAAUGUGUAACGAGGAGAAAUAACUACCAAGGAACAGAUUAUGGCCUUUAUAUAUAGGGUUAUAUAGUGCGUCAAAUGGGCGGCAAUAUCUCAGCAGUGACAGAAAGAAGGGCAAACGUUGUCUCCGCAGCAGCUACUGGCCGACACAUCUAAUGGACGGUUGGGCGCGGCUACUCCAUGAUAUAAGGAGAGGCUCCGGCGCAGCGCCCACAGACGACUGUCCGACGUGGGAGAGCACAGACCCUCCUCCACGACUCCGCUGCCUCGCCGCCACUCACUCUAUCGCUCUUCUCCCGCUCUCUCUUCGUCUGCCAUCACACAAACAUUUCUAGUUCCCAGAUAUGUUGUAACGUAUGCUUUCCCAUCUGCAUCUUUUUCUACCUGUUCUUGUUUUCUGUCCCUCUCAGUUGUUCUAUUCUGCAGGUAAUGAAACAGAGCAAGUCUAUGAUCAACCCGCCAUCGCCACAGCACCCACCAACUCACGCCUGAUGCACGCGACAGUUGAGUAACCUCGUUCCAGCGGUGCACAGGAGCCGGUCAGGUGGAGGGGGAGGGACGGGCAGCGAAAGGACAGGUGAUGGAGGGCGAGCAGCCGGACUCCAGACAAGAAACUAAUCGUCGCUGCCACAAUUGCACGACUCACGGCCACCGUCCUGUCCCUUCCCGACCCCCGUCCCCGGUCAUGCUCCCUCGCACCCGCCUGAUCUUCGCCUCCGUCCUUUAUGGCCUCCACGUGAUGUACAUAAAACAUAAGUGACUCACGGACGGAAAUAAGUGAGGCUCGUGUUCCCUGGCCAAUGUCGUCUGUGGACCGCGAACACCUGACUCAUGAGCACCUUGAUUAUAGAGGCAAUGCAACUUGUCAAGGGAGGGAGGCACCUUGAGAGACUAUAUGGUUGUCUCUAUCUUCCCAUAUGUCUUCCUAGCUGUAGAAUUGCCUGUCUCUCCAUAUGCCUGCCUAUACAUUUGUCUCUGUCUAUGGGGGGGCGGUUUGUAACAACGUUUUACAUGGAAUUUAUAUCAUACCAGCAAAUCUACUUUGUUUACAUAACUUUUCUACUAUUCCUUCAUAUAUUCUGUUACAUAUUUACCAUAGCCAGUCCUUAGCAAUUAACUUUUAGCAACCAUAGAGGAAAAAACCCCACAGGAAGAGGCGGGGGAACAUGCAUUUCAUCAGAAGUCAAAAAAAAACAAAAAAAAAAAAACAUACGUGCCACAAUAAAACAUAAAAAAAAAAGUCUCCUGAGUUUCUUUAUCUGAAGGAAACGUACCAUAACUCACACUAUCGCGGUGUAAAAACGACACCCGCAAAAAAAAAAAAUGCAUAUAUCCUGCUUGUUACUUAUAAUGUAUGCGUUUGAUCCCCUCCUCUAUGGAUUACCGUACAUCCUCUCCGUCCAGCUGCAGGUGUUAAUGCCACAUAAGGAGCCCUCCACCCAUUCCGCUCCACCCUACAACCCCGCCCACACCUCCCCGCCCACCCCACCGUCGCCCACACGCACAGGACGUCGCCCUGGAGUAUAUGGGGAUGAAGGCGGGCGGGCGGGUCGUCGCAACACAGGAUAUGGAGUCGUGCGAUCACCCAGCGGCGUAUACAGAAUCGAGGCGCCGCGGAUAUGAAUGUCAUGAGUCACCGCGGCUGAAAAUGUGCGAUUCUUAUUCCGCAGAGAGACACGUGAGGGGGAAUCAAAUAUGUAUGAGUAAAAUCAAAGCGUGUCAGCCAAUGCAUAGGUGCAGCUAAUGGUAUCUAAGCUGCAUCAGAGCCCCAAACAAGAUGAGGAAACCUGUCAUCACAUAUCAUUCUCUUGUAC